UACGUAGGAUCCAAGCGUUAUCCGGAAUUACUGGGCGUAAAGAGUUGCGUAGGUGGCAAUGUAAGUAGAUGGUGAAAGCCUGGGGCUCAACCCCUUCAACAUCAUUUAAACUGCAUAGCUAGAAUAUGGGAGAGGUACCUGGAAUUCCAAGUGUAGGAGUGAAAUCCGUAGAUAUUUGGAGGAACACCGAUGGCGUAGGCAGGGUACUGGCCUAUUAUUGACACUAAGGCACGAAAGCGUGGGGAGCGAACGGG
rnacentral:rRNA from 1 species